rnacentral:lncRNA from 1 species
CUGGAGAGACAACUUAGCUUGAGCCCAUUUUACAGAUGGAAACCCGAGGCUCAGAGAGGUUGAGUGCUUUGCUCAGGGUUACUGAGAGGAGUGAGGUUUCUGCAUCUGCCUCUUCGGAGGCAUUGGCUGAAAUUCAUCUCUGAUGUCAGGCACCCCCUCUGAGGAAUCUGCUCGGAAAAGGCAUCGGGAGCUGCAGCACGUGGUUUGCAUCCUCUCCAUGCAACAAAGGACCUAGACUUCCAGGAGUCACAGGGUAGUCUGCAGGGCAGGGUAGAGAUGUUCCACAGAAGCUGGUCAAAAGCUGGAAUAUCAUUAAAGAUCACAAUAUACCACAACAUCAGGUUCCAUUAUUUCUGAGGAGGCAAAGCAACUACAUAUUUUAGAAAUUUACUGUUAAUUUCUUAUUUCCAGUCAGUCUCACCCAAAUGUUUCAAGUGCAAAGCCCUGGCCUCCCACUGUCUUCCCACAACCCAGGAAAGGCACUGAACGGGUUACAUGUGCAGAUCUUUGUAUAUACUCUGUUGGAGAAAGGAUCUGGGCUGAAGACGCCAGCACCUAGCACAAGCCCUGGAUGAGAAUAAUGGGGCACUACAAGAUGAACAGAGAGAGGGCUGGGGCGGGGAGGGGUGGAUGCAAACGAUUAUGGC